ACCUGGGUGGCUUAGUCGGUUAAGCAUCUGACUUCGGCUCAGGUCACGAUCUCGCGGUUUGUGAGUUCAAGCCCCACAUCGGGCU
rnacentral:tRNA from 1 species